AUCAUCGAGUCUUUGACGCACAUUGCGCCUUUUGGUAUUCCGAGAGGCACGCCUGUNUGAGCGUCGGCAAAACCCUUCGGCGAGACGAUUUAUCGCGGNNGGNGUUGGCGGCGGGCGGGGGUAACUAGAUUGCCCUCCCCCGCGCCUAAACNCAGAGGCAGGGCGAACGGUUUGGCCGCAGCAAUAGUAGAAAUAUCUUUGCUCCCGUGCCUACCCUAGCGCUGGCCGACCGGCCUGGUCGUCGACCGGCCGGUGAAUGUAUACCAAUUUUUGACCUCNNAUCAGACGAGGAUACCCGCUGAACUUAAGCAUAUCAAUAAGCGGAGGAAAAGAAACCAACAGGGAUUGCCUCAGUAGCGGCGAGUGAAGCGGCNAAAGCUCAGAUUUGAAAUCANGUGUGCUUGCGCGCCCGAGUUGUAAUCUGGAGAGGAUGCUCCGGCGAAGCCUACCGCCCAAGUUCCUUGGAACAGGACGUCUCAGAGGGUGAGAACCCCGUACCCGGCGGCCCGGCUGAACCAUGUGGAGCUCCCUCGACGAGUCGAGUUGUUUGGGAAUGCAGCUCAAACUGGGUGGUAAAUUCCAUCUAAAGCUAAAUAUUGGCGGGAGACCGAUAGCGCACAAGUAGAGUGAUCGAAAGAUGAAAAGCACUUUGAAAAGAGAGUUAAAAAGUACGUGAAAUUGUUGAAAGGGAAGCGCUUGCCAUCAGAACCGGCGCCGGUCGAUCAACGUUCCUUCUGGUUCGUGCACUCGGCCGGCCGCCGUGCCAGCAUCGGUCGCCGCGGUGGGAGAAAGGCGGCGGGAAAGUGGCUCCCCUCGGGGAGUGUUAUA
rnacentral:rRNA from 1 species